CACUCAGCCCCCUCUUCUUUCCAAUGUUGUAGUUCACCCCUGUUCCUUUCUUUAGCAAACUGAAAUUCUAUCAUUCAUAUGAUAUCAUUUCAGGUCUGUUGACCUUGUUGUCUCAUAAAGCAGCAUGAUGGUUAGGGGAAUGGAUCUAUUUAAGGACACUUUGACCUAUAAAGAAUCACGUAUUAGAAAAAAAUUCAAUGACAUAGACUUAAUGAGUGAAACUGGUUUCACAAUACAAUAGCAACAAACUAAGUUUCCUCCCACUGUGCAGGAUGGGUUAUAUUGAUUUUAAGUUUUAAGGGAAGCUUUGCAAUCACACAAGACUUCAAUUUUCUCCAUUUCACUCUUCCCACUUGGAUCCUAAGAGUUGCAUCCUAUCACACAAGCUGGCUGCAAUUUAGGCCUAAAUUUUGAGAUCAAACAUCUCAUAAGAUCAACUUCCUUUGCUUUUCUGUUUUAUGAGCAUACAGUUUAGUAAUUAACUAGACUCAAAACUAAAACAUAAAGUCCAUGAAGCCUGAUGACACAUGGUUGGGCUGCAAUAUAAACAUAGAAAAUAUUAAAUGUCAACAUUCUCAACAACUGCAUACCUGAAUGGCAUCUGAUACAGGUAAUUUUCCUGCCUCCCAUAUUGCAAGGGUCCCAUGUAAUUGCUUUGUGAGCUACUCUGGGGACAAAGUUUCUUCCAUCAAUAUGUAACCAAUGACCGUCAUCCCAGAAACCAUAACCUGUAAUAUCCUACCACUGCCACUUGUGGUCCUACAAGAGUUUUCCUUCCACAUCACUUUGCAUUUAAUAGCUGGUCCAUUCCUGAAUAAGUAUCUCUAACAUUCUACGGUUAUAAAUCUCUCAUUUUCUUAUCUCCACUAAGUCAUCAUAGACUCAUAGUAAUAUGACAACCCAAAAGAACAACACACCUUAAGUGUUCAAAGCAACAAAAAUUACUUCAUACAGGUAUAUGUAUAAUUCCGUAACAGUUUGAUCACCAAACUGGAACUUGGUUUUUAUAGAACUCUUAUAAUGAUUUAUCAG
rnacentral:lncRNA from 1 species